rnacentral:lncRNA from 1 species
CAUUCACGCGGCAGCUGGGAGGAACCAAACGGGCGCCUGGGAGGGGGCGGCUCCCGCGAGCCCAGCGCGGGGCGAGGGGCGGGAAGGGAGAAAACGGGGGUGGCGGGCAGGAGAGAAGGGAGGCCGCCUCGGGCCUGCUUGCCAGCUGCCGAGUGAACUGGGAAGAAAUGAGACAAGGGAAGAAUUCCUCGAAUUUUAGGAUUGUGUUCUUGAAGGCUGGAGAGCGUUUAGUAAAUAUAGAACGACUGCAAAUACAGGUCUACACCGUGCAGGUAAACGACCCACCAGUUCAAGUCCCCCUUUUAAAGCAUUCGCCGUGAGAGUGGAUGGAAGACUUUGUUUGUUCCCUUAACAAAGGUGUAUGACUAGUUAACCAAGACGUGGAGUAAAGCAAUAGGAAAAGAGCAUGUAAGAAAGAGAACUUUCUUGAAGUAAAUGGGCAAGCGUUGAAAGAAAGUGGGAGGAGAUGAGACAAAAAGAAGCUAAGUGCACUUGUGAGAAGUUAACUAAAGGGGGCAUAACUCUUGGAAGAAGUGAAAAACCAAGGAAGAAGUACCCAAAUCCAUAGCUCUCCUAAAGGAGAAAAAAAGAAGGGACAGAAAAGUGAUCACCCCAACAUAAAUUCCUCUAAGCUCACCACAAAGCUGUGCUCUUGACCUGGGAUGGAUGGCAGUGAUGGAUGGAGUAUUGGGGAUAGAUCUGCAGGAAGAAGGGGUAGAGAAAGAGCUGGUGUCCUGCUCUCCUGACUUGCAGAGAGCCUGUACGUUCGUUCCCUUUAAGUUGGAUUAGAAGAGGUGGUGAAUGUAUCAGACACAAGUGCGUAUCAGGUAGAAGUGCAUAUCAGGAAAAGGAAAGAAAAGCAGAAUGGGUUCAAAAAACACCCUCUGUGCCAAGUGCUUUCACUACACCGUGGUUCAGAUAUGAGGAAAGCGAAUGUGUUAAUAUUAAUGAGUUGGGCUAAUUGUCACAACAAAUUACUCAACACUGCCUUCUAGGAGCAGAUGCUUGGAAAGGACAAUGCAUGUAUUGUACAAUAAGAGACUUAGAGCUAUUGACAUAAAAGUAAAUCAUGUUCACAUACAAUUGCCAAGUUACAGUUUGGAUUUAUUGUUAUCUUACUGGGAUUUAUACAUCAUGACUCAUCAGCCUGCCCAGGAUUGGCAAUAGUAUAUGGGAGUCAAGAAUGUUAAAGACCUUGACUUCUUAAUAAUAGAAACUAGUGCUGCCUUUUCUUUUCAUCUUGUACUGUAACAACACUCUCUAAUAGUGACAGAGUGUGAGUUUUUUCCGACCAUAAAUGUAUUUCUUAAAUAAAAUUUUCCAAAUACUUCUGGUAUUGGUAAGUUUAGGAGUUCUUAUGUAAAUUGCUGGUCAAAAGGUAAACAAGCAUUAGAAGAGUAACUCAGCAAAUUGAGCCAAGAGUUUCAAAGUAAUCAUACAAGUAGAUCCAGCAGAUUGAUUUCUAGGGUAUUAUCCAAGUUUAUAAACAUUUAAGAAGAAGAUAUUUAUCACAACUUUAUUUACAAAAUUGAAAAACCAAGACACUUGAGAUGAUGAAUUGAUUAAAUUAUAGUACAUCGAUGUGAUGGAAUACAUUUAAUUAAUAUUUAAUAACCUUGGGAAAUGAUCAUGAUACAAUAGUAGUAGUCAAAAUAGGACAAAACUGAACAAACUAUAAUCACUCUAGCUAAAUGUGAAAGGAAAUUUACCAAAUCUUAGCAGCAGUUAUCUCUAGAUGACGGUAUUAUAGAUCAUUUUUUAUCCUUCUAUUAAUCAGAACUUUCAACAAUAAAAUGCAUUAACUUUAAGAAUCAGAGGGAACAUUGCACUGUUAUUUGUUUAAAAAAGAUCUUGCUUCAAAAGCAGUUUACAAUGAAAUAAAAAUGAAAACAAAAUUCUAUGUUUAUCUAUUUGAAAAGAGCAACAAAAAUCAGG